GACAGAGGUGCCGAGCGUUAGGCGGAAUCACUGGGCUUAAAGCGUGUGUAGGUGGAUGCCUAAGUACCUUGUGAAAUCCCACGGCUUAACCGUGGAACUGCUUGGUAUACUGGGUGUCUUGAGCCAGCUAGGGGCUACCGGAACAAAUGGUGGAGCGGUGAAAUGCGUAGAUAUCGGGAGGAACACCGGUGGCGAAGGCGGUUCUCUGGGCCUGUACUGACGCUGAGGAGCGAAAGCGUGGGGAGCGAACAGG
rnacentral:rRNA from 1 species